rnacentral:rRNA from 1 species
UGGGGAAUAUUGCACAAUGGAGGGAACUCUGAUGCAGCGACGCCGCGCGAGUGAUGAAGGAAUUCGUUUCGUAAAACUCUGUUCUAUGGGAAGAAAAGGACUGUACCAUAGGAGAAAGCUCCGGCUAAAUACGUGCCAGCAGCCGCGGUAAUACGUAUGGAGCGAGCGUUGUCCGGAAUUAUUGGGCGUAAAGGGUGCGCAGGCGGCUUUACAAGUUGGAUGUGAAAUAUUGUGGCUCAACCACAAACGUGCAUCCAAAACUGCAAAGCUUGAGUUAAGGAGGGGUAAGUGGAAUUCCUGGUGUAGCGGUGGAAUGCGUAGAUAUCAGAAAGAAUACCGGUGGCGGAGGCGACUUACUGGACUUAAACUGACGCUCAGGCACGAAAGCGUGGGGAGCAAACAGG